GACGUAGGUGGCGAACGUUAUCCGGAAUUAUUGGGCGUAAAGGGUGCGUAGAUGGCAUGAUAAGUUAUCAGUGGUAAAUCGAGGCUCAACCUCGUGGAAACUGGUAAUACUGUCAGGCUUGAGUACAGGAGAGGUUAAUGGAAUUCCCUGUGGAGCGGUAAAAUGCGUUAGAUAUAGGGAGGAACACCAAUAACGGCGAAGGCAAUUAACUAUCCUGUUACUGACAUUGAGGCACGAAAGCGUGGGGAGCAAAACGG
rnacentral:rRNA from 1 species